GGGACUGUUAUCAAACUCGCUACCAGGAAGAAGAAAAUGAAACAGCAGUUGGAGACCCUACUGAAUAAGCUCCUGACCCUCGAACAGAAACAUCAGAUAACGCCUGAAGAUGAGACCUAUGGACAACUGGAUUCGGUAAGAAGAGAUAUCCGCACGCUCUUGCUAGGCGAUACAGCCAGAUCCAUGGUGUGGUCACAAAGGACUUAGUAUGAAAAGGCCAACAAAAUGGACACGCUUUUAGCCAGGACACCUAGACCCAGACAGGAACGUUCCCAUAUAACGGCUGUCAGACACCCAGACGGUUCUAUUAAGACGACACCAAAGGAUAUAGCUGCGGUUUUCGAGGACUUUUAUAAACUCUUAUAAAACCAUACUCCAGAUACUGGCCCUCGAG